rnacentral:rRNA from 1 species
AUUGAACGCUGGCGGCAUGCCUUACACAUGCAAGUCGAACGGCAGCACGGGUGCUUGCACCUGGUGGCGAGUGGCGAACGGGUGAGUAAUACAUCGGAACGUACCUUAUCGUGGGGGAUAACGCAGCGAAAGUUGCGCUAAUACCGCAUACGCCCUGAGGGGGAAAGCGGGGGACCGUAAGGUCUCGCGCGAUUAGAGCGGCCGAUGUCUGAUUAGCUUGUUAGUGAGGUAAAAGCUCACCAAGGCGAUGAUCAGUAGCUGGUCUGAGAGGACGAUCAGCCACACUGGGACUGAGACACGGCCCAGACUCCUACGGGAGGCAGCAGUGGGGAAUUUUGGACAAUGGGGGCAACCCUGAUCCAGCAAUGCCGCGUGAGUGAAGAAGGCCUUCGGGUUGUAAAGCUCUUUUGUCAGGGAAGAAACAGCAGCUCUAACACAGUCUGCGAAUGACGGUACCUGAAGAAUAAGCACCGGCUAACUACGUGCCAGCCGCCGCAGUAA